AGCACUAUACGGUGAAACUGCGAAUGGCUCAUUAAAUCAGUUAUCGUUUAUUUGAGAGAACCUUACUACAUGGAUAACCGUGGUAAUUCUAGAGCUAAUACAUGCUAAAAACCUCGACUUCGGAAGGGGUGUAUUUAUUAGAUAAAAAACCAAUGCCCUUCGGGGCUCCUUGGUGAAUCAUAAUAACUUAACGAAUCGCAUGGCCUUGCGCCGGCGAUGGUUCAUUCAAAUUUCUGCCCUAUCAACUUUCGAUGGUAGGAUAGUGGCCUACCAUGGUAUCAACGGGUAACGGGGAAUUAGGGUUCGACUCCGGAGAGGGAGCCUGAGAAACGGCUACCACAUCCAAGGAAGGCAGCAGGCGCGCAAAUUACCCAAUCCCGACACGGGGAGGUAGUGACAAUAAAUACUGAUACAGGGCUCUUUUGGGUCUUGUAAUUGGAAUGAGUACAAUUUAAAUCCCUUAACGAGGAACAAUUGGAGGGCAAGUCUGGUGCCAGCAGCCGCGGUAAUUCCAGCUCCAAUAGCGUAUAUUAAAGUUGUUGCAGUUAAAAAGCUCGUAGUUGAACCUUGGGCCUGGCUGGCCGGUCCGCCUCACCGCGUGUACUGGUCCGGCCGGGCCUUUCCUUCUGGGGAACCUCAUGCCCUUCACUGGGCGUGUUGGGGAACCAGGACUUUUACUUUGAAAAAAUUAGAGUGUUCAAAGCAGGCCUUUGCUCGAAUACAUUAGCAUGGAAUAAUAGAAUAGGACGUGUGGUUCUAUUUUGUUGGUUUCUAGGACCGCCGUAAUGAUUAAUAGGGAUAGUCGGGGGCAUCAGUAUUCAAUCGUCAGAGGUGAAAUUCUUGGAUUGAUUGAAGACUAACUACUGCGAAAGCAUUUGCCAAGGAUGUUUUCAUUAAUCAGUGAACGAAAGUUAGGGGAUCGAAGACGAUCAGAUACCGUCGUAGUCUUAACCAUAAACUAUGCCGACUAGGGAUAUCACCGUGUUAGUAUUUUGACCCGUUCGGCACCUUACGAGAAAUCAAAG
rnacentral:rRNA from 1 species